CAGCAGCCGCGGUAAUACGGAGGGGGCAAGCGUUGUUCGGAAUUACUGGGCGUAAAGGGCGCGCAGGCGGCUGCUCAAGUCAGGCGUGAAAGGCCUGGGCUCAACCCGGGAAUUGCGCUUGAGACUGAGCUGGCUUGAGUGCGGGAGAGGAUGGUGGAAUUCCCAGUGUAGCGGUGAAAUGCGUAGAGACCGGGAAGAACACCAGUGGCGAAGGCGGCUACCUGGACAGGUACUGACGCUGAAGCGCGAAAGCUAGGGGAGCAAACAGGAUUAGAUACCCUGGUAGUCCACGCCGUAAACGAUGGGUGCUAGGUGUGGGAGGUGUCGACUCCUCCCGUGCCGCAGCUAACGCAUUAAGCACCCCGCCUGGGGAGUACGGCCGCAAGGCUAAAACUCAAAGGAAUUGACGG
rnacentral:rRNA from 1 species